UACGUAGGGUGCGAGCGUUGUCCGGAAUUAUUGGGCGUAAAGGGCUCGUAGGCGGUUUGUCGCGUCGGGAGUGAAAACACUGGGCUUAACUCAGUGCUUGCUUCCGAUACGGGCAGACUAGAGGUAUUCAGGGGAGAACGGAAUUCCUGGUGUAGCGGUGAAAUGCGCAGAUAUCAGGAGGAACACCCGUGGCGAAGGCGGCUCUCUAGUACGGUACUGACGCUGAGACGCGAAAGCGUGGGGAGCGAACAGG
rnacentral:rRNA from 1 species